rnacentral:rRNA from 1 species
AAGCAUAUAGUGGAUGCCUUGGCUUGUUUGGACUAAGAAGGACGCACUAGACCGCGAAAGUCGUCGGGGAGCUGCCAAGAAGCUACGAUCCG